AGCGAACGCUGGCGGCAGGCCUAACACAUGCAAGUCGAACGAUCCUUCGGGAUAGUGGCGGACGGGUGAGUAACACGUGGGAACGUACCUUUAGGUUCGGGACAACUCAGGGAAACUUGAGCUAAUACCGGAUAAGCCCUUCGGGGGAAAGAUUUAUCGCCUUUAGAGCGGCCCGCGUCUGAUUAGCUAGUUGGUGAGGUAAAGGCUCACCAAGGCUUCGAUCAGUAGCUGGUCUGAGAGGAUGAUCAGCCACAUUGGGACUGAGACACGGCCCAAACUCCUACGGGAGGCAGCAGUGGGGAAUCUUGCGCAAUGGUCGAAAGACUGACGCAGCCAUGCCGCGUGAAUGAUGAAGGUCUUAGGAUUGUAAAAUUCUUUUACCAGU
rnacentral:rRNA from 1 species